rnacentral:rRNA from 1 species
UACGAAGGGGGCUAGCGUUGCUCGGAAUUACUGGGCGUAAAGCGCACGUAGGCGGCUUGGCAAGUGGAAGGUGAAAUCCCUCGGCUUAACCGAGGAACUGCCCUCCAAACUGCUUCGCUUGAGACCGGGAGAGGUGAGUGGAAUUCCCAGUGUAGCGGUGAAAUGCGUAGAUAUUGGGAGGAACACCAGUGGCGAAGGCGGCUCACUGGACCGGUACUGACGCUGAUGCGCGAAAGCGUGGGGAGCAAACGGG